GACAGAGGGUGCAAACGUUGCUCGGAAUUACUGGGCGUAAAGCGCGUGUAGGCUGACCGGAAAGUCGGGCGUGAAAGCCCUGGGCUCAACCCAGGAACUGCACUCGAAACUCCCGGUCUAGAGUGGUGGAGAGGGAAGUGGAAUUCCAGGUGUAGCGGUGAAAUGCGUAGAUAUCUGGAGGAACACCGGUGGCGAAGGCGGCAUCCUGGACCGGUAUUGACGCUGAGGCGCGAAAGCCAGGGGAGCAAACGGG
rnacentral:rRNA from 1 species